rnacentral:tRNA from 1 species
UCCAUUGCUCAGUUGGCAGAGCACAAGGCUCUUAACCCUGUGGUUGUGGGUUCAAGCCCUGCAAUGGAG